rnacentral:rRNA from 1 species
UACGGGGGGGGUAAGCGUUGUUCGGAAUUACUGGGCGUAAAGGGUUUGUAGGUGGCCCGCUAAGUCACACGUGAAAUCCCUCAGCUUAACUGGGGAACCGCGUGUGAGACUGGCAGGCUCGAGGGCAGGAGAGGAACGCGGAAUUCCAGGUGUAGCGGUGAAAUGCGUAGAUAUCUGGAGGAACACCGGUGGCGAAGGCGGCGUUCUGGACUGUCUCUGACACUGAAGAACGAAAGCCAGGGGAGCAAACGGG